rnacentral:rRNA from 1 species
UGCGAAGGGGGCUAGCGUUGCUCGGAAUCACUGGGCGUAAAGGGUGCGUAGGCGGGUCUUUAAGUCCGGGGUGAAAUCCUGGAGCUCAACUCCAGAACUGCCUUUGAUACUGAGGAUCUUGAGUUCGGGAGAGGUGAGUGGAACUGCGAGUGUAGAGGUGAAAUUCGUAGAUAUUCGCAAGAACACCAGUGGCGAAGGCGGCUCACUGGCCCGAUACUGACGCUGAGGCACGAAAGCGUGGGGAGCAAACAGG